AACGGCAGGUUGGUGAUGGCAGUGAUUGAGUGAUUAGGCGUUUUUUUACGGAGCAUAAUAUCUUAGAGAAAAAUCAGGGCGAGACGAUCGAUGUGCUACGCCCUUUGAUUGCCGGAUAUGUGGUGGCCCUCACCGGCUUGGGUUUUGGGUCAAGUGAAAUGAGGGAUUGCGGGUUAUCAAAGCGUUAUCCAACACAAUCUGGCCCAAGAUAUCAGCCUGGAAAAGCUAGGUGAAGGGAAAUAAAAUGAGAAGGAAUAUUCAUUCCUCAUCUUGUUAUAUCUAUGCAUCCCGUCCCAGCACUUGGCGUUAGUUUCCUCGAAAUCAGAUGCGAAAUAUAAGACACAUCUGUUGGCAAAA
rnacentral:sRNA from 2 species